CAAAAAUGGAUAUGUUAAACCUUCACCCAUACAACUGGAAGCUAUUCCAAUCGGGAAGUGUGGAAUCGAUAUGGUUAUUCAGUCGAAAUCUGGAACAGGGAAAACUCUUGUUUUUGGAAUAGUUAUGCUGGAAUCUAUUGAUCUUGAAAUCAGUACUGUACAGGGAUUGAUACUUGCUCCAACCAGAGAGAUUGCUUUCCAGAAUGCACAUGUUAUUUACACUAUAGGUUCAGAACUUCCAGGCCUAAAUGUCCAGGUCUUUAUUGGAGGUCUUCCUGUUGAGACU